rnacentral:rRNA from 1 species
UACGUAGGAUGCAAGCGUUGUCCGGAUUUACUGGGCGUAAAGCGCGCGCAGGCGGCAUACCAAGUAUUCAGUGAAAUCUCCCUGCUCAACGGGGAGGGUGCUGAGUAGACUGGUAAGCUAGAGGACGGUAGAGGGGGGUAGAAUUGCUGGUGUAGCGGUGAAAUGCGUAGAGAUCAGCAGGAAUACCCGUGGCGAAGGCGGCCCCCUGGGUUAACACUGACGCUCAGGCACGAAAGCGUGGGGAGCAAACAGG